rnacentral:lncRNA from 10 species
AAGAAUGAGCCUAUAGAUGAAAUUAUUCCCUUGGAGCUAGCUGGCACGGGCUAACCCUAUCUUCCUCAGCAGAGCUUGCACGGGGUGGCAGAUCCUCUUUUCAUUUCCUAGAAGCAAGAAGGGAGCCAGAAGCCCAGUUCUCAGGAGAUGAGGCUACCAGGAGAGAACAGAGAAGAAAAGACACUCUGAAAAAGGAAAAGAUGAGAGUUCUUAUGGAAAAAUGUGCCUUGGGAAAAAUUACAAUACUACAGCAAGGAGCCAUGAGACAAGCUCAGAGUGUGAGAUGCACAGUUUUUCCAGAGUUCCAACACCUGGAGCAGAAUUAUCACUGUCCAGAUGAUGACCAAAACAAGAAUAAUCCAGCACUGUAAAGGAAAUUUUCAAGAUGUGCCUGGGUGACUAUGCUGGCCAAUGGAACAUAACUUGAAACGGCAUGUGUGAUUUCUGGAAAACAUCUCUAAAGCUUCCUUACUUGAAGAUUUUCAUGCGUUGUGUGCUUAAAAUUAUACAAGUACUAUUAGAACACCUUUGAAUAAGCACAUUCUGAAAUAUACCAAUUAUAUUACUCAAAGUACAAUGCUGAGCCAUUUUAUAGAUGCAGAAUGUAUUUUGGCUUUUCAUUAACAUUAAUUGCUGUCCUAAUCAUCUGCAGUUUGAUUUCGUCUGUGAAUACCUCUGUCAAUCAGUCUGCUCCUACAAAUAAAUGCCUUCGGAGGCAUUUCCUUUUCAAAAGAUAUGGUAUUGUUAAA